rnacentral:piRNA from 1 species
GACGACUUUUAUAUGGAUGACCUCA